rnacentral:tRNA from 1 species
GUUCCCGUGGUGUAGUGGUUAUCACGUGCGCCUCAUACGCGCAGGGUCCCCGGUUCGAACCCGGGCGGGAACA